GAGAAGACAAGUAAGACGAAAACAUACCCCAAAAAUUCAGAUUAGAAUGUGAUAACUUGUGCUUAAGAUUAGAUAUGGGUGAGAAUUGAGGGAUUCAUCUAAGCCAAUAAUCAAAGCUCGAGGUCUGUAAGAUUUCAGAUAUAUGAAAAGGGAGAAAGGGAAAACCACUAAUGAAGUUGAUAGGGGUGGUGGCUAGAUUUUGUUAGGGCUAUUUAGAG
rnacentral:lncRNA from 1 species